ACGGAGGAUGCAAGUGUUAUCCGGAAUCACUGGGCGUAAAGCGUCUGUAGGUGGUUUAAAAAGUCUACUGUUAAAAAUUGAAGCUUAACUUCAAAGGUGCCGUAGAAACUUUUAAACUUGAGGAUGGUAGGGGUAGAGGGAAUUUCCAGUGGAGCGGUGAAAUGCGUAGAUCUUGGAAAGACCACCAAUGGCGAAGGCACUCUACUGGGCCAUGACUGACACUAAGAGACGAAAGCUAGGGGAGCAAAUGGGAUUAGAUACCCCAGUAGUCCUAGCUGUAAACGAUGGAUACUAGAUGUUGUGUGUAUUGACCCAUGCAGUAUCGUAGCUAACGCGUUAAGUAUCCCGCCUGGGAAGUAUGCUCGCAAGAGUG
rnacentral:rRNA from 1 species